rnacentral:rRNA from 1 species
CCUACGGGAGGCUGCAGUGAGGAAUAUUGGUCAAUGGGCGAGAGCCUGAACCAGCCAAGUAGCGUGAAGGAUGACUGCCCUAUGGGUUGUAAACUUCUUUUAUAAAGGAAUAAAGUCGGGUAUGGAUACCCGUUUGCAUGUACUUUAUGAAUAAGGAUCGGCUAACUCCGUGCCAGCAGCCGCGGUAAUACGGAGGAUGCGAGCGUUAUCCGGAUUUAUUGGGUUUAAAGGGAGCGCAGACGGGUCGUUAAGUCAGUUGUGAAAGUUUGCGGCUCAACCGUAAAAUUGCAGUUGAUACUGGCGACCUUGAGUGCAACAGAGGUAGGCGGAAUUCGUGGUGUAGCGGUGAAAUGCUUAGAUAUCACGAAGAACUCCGAUUGCGAAGGCAGCACACUAAGCCGUAACUGACGUUCAUGCUCGAAAG